AUAAAAAAAUUGUUAGAAAAACAAGUUCACUCUUUCUCACAAGAACGUCACAGCUGAAGACUUGAACAACUGAGGAACUUAAGUCGAAGAACAAUUAGGUCUUGCAGCUAGAAGGCUAUUUUAGCAAAGAAUAAAGGUUGUCGCAUUAUUUAUCUAUGAUACUGGUAUAGAUUAACGUAAAAUAAAAGAAGGGACUUCUCUUUGUUGAGAGACAAGAUUAUGUCAUCCUCUAAGAAUGAAGAAAGUACUGCUCAUGAUGCAACAUAACGGAUUAAUGUUGCAGCCUUGUCUGCUGCAAAAGGUUUAAGUUGUGCUCAGGCUGAACGUGCUGCUACUGCUUCUGCUAGAUAUGACAAUGCGUAUGGCAAAAAGGAAGAAGGACCAGUCGAUGGAAAGAAAGAAAAGAAGCAAAGAGGCAGAUGGCAUCGCUUCUUUGGUGCUCUCGUAAUACCUACGGGCUCAUUUGGUUCUCCUUAAAUACCUUCGCAGCUUGAUGUAACACUUCAUUUUGGAGGACUACCCAAGGAAAUAACUAUGAGCACAAAUGGAUGGAGUGAUGCAGGGCAUGCUGUGAAUCAAGUGUAUGAUAUACUUUACGUGAUGGCGUGACUAUAUUUUUGUCGUUGUGGAAGGUCAAUGUGGAAUACUUCCUAAUGUUACCAUUCUGCGUGAUGUUGGUGGAUAUCUCCCUAUAAUUUAUCAGGUGAUGAAAAUCUCCAUUUACUCAACUUUUGGCACUAUUCUGCAAGUCAAGAAUCAUUUGCUUUCACGCCAUAUUGUUGGUUAGUUAAACAUAUCCAUAAUUUUCGUGUACUUGAAAUCUUGAGUAUGCUUACUUUUCACUGAUUUGUUAGGGAAAUGUUACAUGUGGUUAUUGUAAAUGCAAAGAAGAUAUUCCUGUAGGUCCCGGAGGACGUUUUGAUAUCGACUCUAAUUUUGGAUUCAGAAAGAGCUUCUUCCCACAUGUAUCAUUUUUCAUUAAAGCUGAAGGGAAGAUUACUUUGUCUAACUUCCUUUAUCGCAUUAUUAGAAUUUUGGUCUAACUGUCUUCAUCGCACUUUUUCUGGUUUUACAGAAGAAGAAAUAGAAUAGACACUUUUAACUUCAGUCUGAAGUAUGGUUGAAUGUAGCACGGAAGAUCGUUUAAUACACCAAGGACCACUUCCUACUUAAAUUUGUCUUUGUGUUUUGUCUUUCAGUCACAAUGAAAUGGCACAUAGCAACAACAUUCCCAAUGAAAUCUCACAAGCUAGGUUUGGGGAGGGUAGAAUGUACGCCAACCUUACCACUAAUUGUGUUGCACAAAUUCAAUAACUGAUUCUUGUAUAUAUGUAAUGAAAGAUCCUUACUUCGGAAGGUUUUGAAUGUGUAUAUCUAGACUUGGCGCUAAUGCAAUUAUUUUUUAGGAUAAAAUAAGUUCUAUCCUUCAUGAAAUUGCUAUGACUAGAUAAAAGAGCUUAGUUUGACUGCUUAGUUCUGCUAAGCUUCAAAUGUUUUCGUAACAUGUUAAUCUUUCACUUAUAAACAGGGGAAGAGACAUUAUUGACCUCUUCGACAACCAACAGUGCAGCAAGUUAUGAUCAACAUAAUUUAAUCUGGUCCCACGGUGGUUUUCUCAUCUCAUAACAUACAAAUUUUGCUUGUACUUCAUAUGAUAGUAAAUCUGCUACAGUAGGAGCAUGUGUAUCAUCAUGUAUAUCAUGAAUCUUCACUGAAACCUUGCCUUCUUUUAUUUUUCUUAUGCACUGUAUCGAAGGAUCUGAAAUUCAAUUAGUGAAGUUGUACUUGAUUUUUGAUUGUCAGGAGAUCAUCUUACAACCUAUGGCUAUGGUGCCCCAGAGUUUUUUGGAUAGUAUAUAAAGGUAUGGUUGUAUCUGAUGAAUGUUGUCAUUCAAUGAUUAAGAUCACUUUAAUGACCAAUGUUGUUGCAUAUGAAACCACAAUUUUUAUCAUAUCUGAGGAUUUGGCAUCGGGAUUGUUGCAUACAGCCCCCUAGGCCAGGGGGUUUUUUGUGGGAAGAAAAUCACAGAAAGCUUGCCUGUAGAAAGUCUGGUUUUUUUAUUGUAGGUUUGCUUGUUUCUACUGUUCGCCCUAGUUAACCAAAGAAAACGUAGUUUUGCCAACCGGUUAGCGAGUGGAAACAAGUCGAACCAUUAGAAGGGAUGUGAUGACAAUACCUAGAGCCGGAGCAAGGGUCGUGGUGCUUUAAUGGAUUUUCCAUGUGUAGAUCUUCCACCACACUAUAUGGACCCUUUCAAGUUGUAUGACCCAGUAGUAGACUUCUAAAGAUCGUUGGAGAUUGCAUCAGAUAAUUAAUGAGAAUGAUUGGAAAUUACAAGGGUAUUGUGAAUAGGAUUGAUACAAAAGAGUGGAACACUGAGUUGGACAUUCACUUAUAGUGUCAGAUGGUUACCUGAACUGCUCCUUGGACACACUGCAGACUGGCAAGCCUCAAUAUAAAGCGGCAUUGCAGAAGGAACUUGAUUUACCAGUUCGUGAUAAUGUCCCAUUGAUCAGUUUCAUUAGGAGGCUAGACCCACAAAAGGGUCUUGAUCUGAUUGUUGAGGCAGUGCCUUGGAUGAUCGUUGAAAGUGAAACGAGUAGGUGAAUGUCAAAAGAAAAAAGAUUUAUAAUUAUUCUGCCUUUCUUCACUAUUGUAGCAUUGUUGCCUUCUUAAUGGUUGAGGAUGGGUGAUGGAUUUGUUAGUUUCUAAAACAUUGAUUUUGCCUGUUAACUUUUCUGUUAUCUUCAUUUGAAAACUAUUGCUAUGUCCACGUGUAUAUAAUUAAUCACUUUUUAAUUAUUGUUUGUA